GUGGUGGAUCAAUGGUAGAGCGCUUGCCUAGCAUGCGUGAGGCACUGGGUUCGAUUCUCAGCACCACA
rnacentral:tRNA from 1 species